ACUGAAACACUGAUUCCAGUAAGAUCACCAAAGUUAAGCAACAUUUAGCCUGGUCAGUACUUUGAUGGGUGACCACUUGGGAAUACUAGGAGCUGUAAU